rnacentral:lncRNA from 1 species
GUUUGUUUUCCCGGUUGGCGCUACGGGGGUGGGAGUGUCCUGCGCAGUCUUGGGGAGGGGGGGGUCCGAUGACGUAGGUCCGGACUCUGUAGCCCCUCAGGGAGUGGCUGCCCAUGACUGAACUGGUGUCCACCUGAGUAGUAUGAGAGGAAAUCUUGAGGUUCUAUUGCUCUGGCCCCCAGAGUAAAGUCCGAGGUCUGAACUCUGCCCUGCCCAAAGCGAAGGCUUACUGAGAGCGAGACUGGAGGCGUGCGUGUGAUGUGUAUUGGUGAUCUGCUUUGGCCAAGUCUCAAGUUAAUGAAUGAUGCUGCACACCAAGCAAGAUGAACGGAUACCCAGCUAGUGCCAGUGCUGAUGUGCAAACUACAGAAUUUUCUGUCGUUUUUGAUCAUCUCUUUAGCUAAUCAUUCCGUAUUAGGGCCUGCAGCACUUCCGGUUUUGGUAUUCAGGAAUUCAUACUGAAAUGUUCCAGGGACUCUGAUCUACAAAGGCUCCGUUCCUCGAAUGCAGUGCCAUUUGAGAACACGAGGUGGCACCCGUGGAGGGCUGUUAGAUUGGCCCUAGACCAACACCCGCCCCCUCAUUAGC